rnacentral:rRNA from 1 species
GAUGAACGCUGGCGGCGUGCCUAAUACAUGCAAGUCGAGCGAACGGACGAGAAGCUUGCUUCUCUGAUGUUAGCGGCGGACGGGUGAGUAACACGUGGAUAACCUACCUAUAAGACUGGGAUAACUUCGGGAAACCGGAGCUAAUACCGGAUAAUAUUUUGAACCGCAUGGUUCAAAAGUGAAAGACGGUCUUGCUGUCACUUAUAGAUGGAUCCGCGCUGCAUUAGCUAGUUGGUAAGGUAACGGCUUACCAAGGCAACGAUGCAUAGCCGACCUGAGAGGGUGAUCGGCCACACUGGAACUGAGACACGGUCCAGACUCCUACGGGAGGCAGCAGUAGGGAAUCUUCCGCAAUGGGCGAAAGCCUGACGGAGCAACGCCGCGUGAGUGAUGAAGGUCUUCGGAUCGUAAAACUCUGUUAUUAGGGAAGAACAUAUGUGUAAGUAACUGUGCACAUCUUGACGGUACCUAAUCAGAAAGCCACGGCUAACUACGUGCCAGCAGCCGCGGUAAUACGUAGGUGGCAAGCGUUAUCCGGAAUUAUUGGGCGUAAAGCGCGCGUAGGCGGUUUUUUAAGUCUGAUGUGAAAGCCCACGGCUCAACCGUGGAGGGUCAUUGGAAACUGGAAAACUUGAGUGCAGAAGAGGAAAGUGGAAUUCCAUGUGUAGCGGUGAAAUGCGCAGAGAUAUGGAGGAACACCAGUGGCGAAGGCGACUUUCUGGUCUGUAACUGACGCUGAUGUGCGAAAGCGUGGGGAUCAAACAGGAUUAGAUACCCUGGUAGUCCACGCCGUAAACGAUGAGUGCUAAGUGUUAGGGGGUUUCCGCCCCUUAGUGCUGCAGCUAACGCAUUAAGCACUCCGCCUGGGGAGUACGACCGCAAGGUUGAAACUCAAAGGAAUUGACGGGGACCCGCACAAGCGGUGGAGCAUGUGGUUUAAUUCGAAGCAACGCGAAGAACCUUACCAAAUCUUGACAUCCUUUGACAACUCUAGAGAUAGAGCCUUCCCCUUCGGGGGACAAAGUGACAGGUGGUGCAUGGUUGUCGUCAGCUCGUGUCGUGAGAUGUUGGGUUAAGUCCCGCAACGAGCGCAACCCUUAAGCUUAGUUGCCAUCAUUAAGUUGGGCACUCUAAGCUGACUGCCGGUGACAAACCGGAGGAAGGUGGGGAUGACGUCAAAUCAUCAUGCCCCUUAUGAUUUGGGCUACACACGUGCUACAAUGGACAAUACAAAGGGCAGCGAAACCGCGAGGUCAAGCAAAUCCCAUAAAGUUGUUCUCAGUUCGGAUUGUAGUCUGCAACUCGACUACAUGAAGCUGGAAUCGCUAGUAAUCGUAGAUCAGCAUGCUACGGUGAAUACGUUCCCGGGUCU